GGACAGGUGCCGGAGUGGUUGAACGGGGCGGUCUUGAAAAUCGCUAGGCGGGACCUCCCGCCUCGUGGGUUCGAAUCCCACCCUGUCCGCGA
rnacentral:tRNA from 1 species